rnacentral:rRNA from 1 species
UACGUAGGGUGCGAGCGUUGUCCGGAAUUAUUGGGCGUAAAGGGCUCGUAGGCGGUUUGUCGCGUCGGGAGUGAAAACAUCGGGCUUAACUCGAUGCUUGCUUUCGAUACGGGCAGACUUGAGGUAUGCAGGGGAGAAUGGAAUUCCUGGUGUAGCGGUGAAAUGCGCAGAUAUCAGGAGGAACACCGGUGGCGAAGGCGGAUCUCUGGGCCUUACCUGACGCUGAGGCGCGAAAGCUAGGGGAGCAAACAGG